rnacentral:rRNA from 1 species
CAACUUUCAGCAAUGGAUCUCUUGGCUCUCGCAUCGAUGAARAACGCAGCGAAUCGCGAUAUGUAAUGKGAAUUGCAGAUCUACAGUGAAUCAUCGAAUCUUUGAACGCACCUUGCGCUCCUCGGUGUUCCGAGGAGCAUGCCUGUUUGAGCGUCAGUA